rnacentral:rRNA from 1 species
GUUUGAUCCUGGCUCAGGAUGAACGCUGGCGGCGUGCCUAAUACAUGCAAGUCGAACGGGGGCAGUAGCGAUACUGUCCUAGUGGCGAACGGGUGAGUAACGCGUUGGUGACCUGCCCCAGAGAGGGGGAUAACAGACCGAAAGGUCUGCUAAUACCGCAUAAAUUCUCAGCAGUUAGAGGGGUUGAGAAGAAAGCCGAAAGGCGCUUCUGGGAGGGGCCUGCGUCCCAUCAGCUAGUUGGUAGGGUAACGGCCUACCAAGGCGAAGACGGGUAGGGGACCUGAGAGGGUGGCCCCCCACAAUGGAACUGAAACACGGUCCAUACACCUACGGGUGGCAGCAGUAGGGGAUAUUGGUAAAUGGGCGAAAGCCUGACCCAGCAACGCCGCGUGCGCGAAGAAGGCCUUCGGGUUGUAAAGCGCUUUUCUGAGGGAUGAGGAAGGACAGUACCUGAGGAAUAAGUCUCGGCUAACUACGUGCCAGCAGCCGCGGUAAGACGUAGGAGACGAGCGUUAUCCGGAUUUACUGGGCGUAAAGCGCGUGCAGGCGGCUCGUUAAGUUGGAUGUGAAAGCCCCUGGCUAAACUAGGGGAGGUCGUUCAAGACUGGCGGGCUAGAGUGCAGCAGAGGAGAGUGGAAUUCCGAGUGUAGCGGUAAAAUGCACAGAUAUUCGGAAGAACACCAGAGGCGAAGGCGGCUCUCUGGGCUGCAACUGACGCUCAGACGCGAAAGCUAGGGGAGCGAACGGGAUUAGAGACCCCGGUAGUCCUAGCCGUAAACGAUGUGGACUUGGCGUGGGGAGGGUAAAGCCUGUCCGUGCCGAAGCAAACGCGAUAAGUCCACCGCCUGGGGACUACGGCCGCAAGGUUAAAACUCAAAGGAAUUGACGGGGGCCCGCACAAGCAGCGGAGCGUGUGGUUUAAUUCGAUGCUACACGAAGAACCUUACCAGGGUUUGACAUGUACGUGGUAGGGAAACGAAAGUGAACCGACCCUUCGGGGAGCGUACACAGGUGUUGCAUGGCUGUCGUCAGCUCGUGUCGUGAGAUGUUCGGUUAAGUCCGCUAACGAGCGCAACCCGCGCCGCGUGUUACAAGUGUCACGCGGGACUGCCGGUGUCAAGCCGGAGGAAGGUGCGGAUGACGUCAAGUCAGCAUGACCUAUAUAUCCUGGGCUACACACACGCUACAAUGGCCGGUACAAUGGGUCGCGAACCGCGAGGCGGAGCCAAUCCAGAAAGCCGGUCUCAGUUCAAAUUGCAGGCUGCAACCCGCCUGCAUGAAGACGGAGUUGCUAGUAACCGCAGGUCAGCCAUACUGCGGUGAAUACGUUCCCGGGCCUUGUACACACCGCCCGUCACGUCAUGGGAGCUGGCAACACCUGAAGUCGGUAUCUGAACCGAAAGGGAGGAGCCGCCGAGGGUGGGGCUGGUGACUGGGACGAAGUCGUAACAAGGUA